UCCACGCAGCCCCUCCUCUCCCUUGUUCACAUUCCUCUCUUCCUCAUUUCUUCUUCACUCACUCGCACACACACGGCCGUGAGAGAGAGAGCUGCCAUGGGAGAGAUUGAUGCCGAGAGUGAGGCGUUGCAGAUUUUUGAGAGGGAGAUUUAGAGCACGACGCAAGGAAGAAGACGAAGAGGAGAAAUGGAUUUUCGGACAUGGGUCUUUGUAAGGCACGUGUCUUGAUUGGAGACUUCAACUUGUUCUCCAAUGUAGAGUUCAAGUAAAUAGAACACGGGGAGUGUUCGAGUCAUGAGUUUAAUGCAGCCAAGAUGUUCCUUUGGCUGCAGGUACUCCGGUAGUAGGGGAGAGUGUUGUAGAUGUGCACUUGGGAUAAUAUGACCGAAGCUCGCCGCGACGGUCGUAAUGGUUGGACCACAGUUGUCCACAAUUUUAUAGGUUCUGUUUAUGGCUUGUGACGCUUUGGUCACUAGUUAUUGUAUAAGCCAUUACUGUUGUUUAAAUAUUAUGUUGAUAAAACUUAAACAUAUAGAUGUUAAAUGGCUCUGUAUUGUAAAUAAUUUGUAAUAGAUGUAUAAGCUAUACUUUUCACUAUUCAGGUUUAUGUUUCCGCUGUAUAGUUAGUUAUAUGUUAUACUCUGAUUUACCAGGUGUAUAUAUUAUGGGAUAUAUACCAUAUGUUGGCUUUGCGAUACAUCGUCGUGCC